GACGGAUGGGGCUAGCGUUAUUCGGAAUUACUGGGCGUAAAGGGCGCGUAGGCGGUCAAUUGAGUUAGGCGUGAAAGCCCUGGGCUUAACCUAGGAACUGCGCUUAAUACUGGUUGGCUAGAGUUUGGUAGAGGAAAGCGGAAUUCCUAGUGUAGAGGUGAAAUUCGUAGAUAUUAGGAAGAACACCAGAGGCGAAGGCGGCUUUCUGGACCAAUACUGACGCUGAGGCGCGAAAGCGUGGGGAGCAAACAGG
rnacentral:rRNA from 1 species